rnacentral:rRNA from 1 species
CUAAGGUGGGAGAUAACCCCGGGAAACUGGGGAUAAUACCCCAUAAUCUAUGGAAGCUGGAAUGCUCUAUAGUUGAAAGAUUUAUCGCCUUAGGAUGGGUCUGCGGCCGAUUAGGUAGUUGUUGGGGUAACGGCCCAACAAGCCUUUGAUCGGUACGGGUUGUGGGAGCAAGAGCCCGGAGAUGGAUUCUGAGACACGAAUCCAGGCCCUACGGGGCGCAGCAGGCGCGAAAACUUUACAAUGCGGGAAACCGUGAUAAGGGAACUCCGAGUGCCCGUAAACGCGGGCUGUCCAUCUGCUUAAAAAACAGGUGAAGAAAGGGCCGGGCAAGACCGGUGCCAGCCGCCGCGGUAAUACCGGCGGCUCGAGUGGUGGCCACUAUUACUGGGCUUAAAGCGUCCGUAGCUUGGUUGUUAAGUCUCUUGGGAAAUCUGUCGGCUUAACCGACAGGCGUUUAAGGGAUACUGGCAAUCUAGGGACCGGGAGAGGUGAGAGGUGCUUCAGGGGUAGGAGUGAAAUCCUGUAAUCCUUGGGGGACCACCUGUGGCGUAGGCGUCUCACCAGAACGGCUCCGACAGUGAGGGACGAAAGCUGGGGGAGCAAACCGGAUUAGAUACCCGGGUAGUCCCAGCCGUAAACGAUGCGCGUUAGGUGUAUCGGUGACCACGAGUCACCGAGGUGCCGAAGGGAAACCGUGAAACGUGCCGCCUGGGAAGUACGGUCGCAAGGCUGAAACUUAAAGGAAUUGGCGGGGGAGCACCACAACAGGUGGAGCCUGCGGUUUAAUCGGACUCAACGCCGGAAACCUCACCGGAUAAGACAGCGGGAUGAUAGCCAGGCUGAAGACUUUGCUUGACUAGCUGAGAGGAGGUGCAUGG